GAUGAAGAACGUAGCGAAAUGCGAUAAGUAAUGUGAAUUGCAGAAUUCCGUGAAUCAUCGAAUCUUUGAACGCACAUUGCGCCCUCUGGUAUUCCGGAUGGGCAUGCCUGUCCGAGCGUCAUUGCAAACCCUCAAGCCCGGCUUGCGUGAUGGGCUCCAGCGUCUGCCCCCCGGGGGCAGACGGGCCCGAAAGAUAGCGGCAGCGUUUUAUGAUGCUACAGUGCAUGGGGAUUUUUCAUCACGCACUGUUCGGUGUCUGCGGCGCUUGCCCCCCUCUGUCACCUCACGGUUUGACCUCGGAUCAGGUAGGGAUACCCGCUGAACUUAAGCAUAUCAAUAAGCGGAGGA
rnacentral:misc_RNA from 1 species